AUAAGGAGUAAAAAGAAAAAAAAAAUAAAAACUAAAGGGACACAAUAAAAAUAAGAAAGUGUUAGAGAGAGCGAGAACAUUGGGGGGUAUGCAAAAGACAAAAUCCAAAAAGGGUUUUCCUCACCAUGGUAGAGAGAGAGAGAGAGAGAAUAAGGAGAGGGCAGCAACUUCCAUCCACCAGCGAUCUCCAUGAGCAAUCAUCUCCACUAGCGCGCAACUUCCACCACUGAGUACCCUUCAUCUACAGAAACAGUUGGUGUGCUCUGUGAUUGCAUCUCUAAGCCAUUGGAAGGCCAUCUUUGGGGGUUUUUUUGAGGUGGGAAAGAGACCACUUUUUAGAGCUUGUGAGGUAACUGUGUAUCUUCUCCAAGUUAUUGUUAUUCUCUUAUUUGAUUGUAAUCCUGAAGUUUUGGGCAAAUAAACUUAAGAAGAAACUAUAUUGUAACCCUCAUUUGAUUUAGUGGAUUCCUCUCUCAGAUUUGCC
rnacentral:lncRNA from 1 species